GCGGAUGUAGUUCAGUGGUAGAACGUCAGCCUCCCAUGCUGAAUGUCGUGGGUUCGAGUCCCAUCAUCCGCU
rnacentral:tRNA from 1 species